rnacentral:sRNA from 1 species
GCCGGGCGUGGUGGUGCAUGCCUGUAAUCCCAGCUACAGGGGAGGCUGAGGCAGGAGGAUCAAAAGUUUGAGGCCAGAGUUGGGACGUAGCUCAUUGGCAAAGCACUUGCCUCAA